UUUUCUUGUCAUCCUGCAGCAGAGCUUGAUGCUGAUUAAGGUAUUAUUCUUACACAUUCUAGCAACACAAUCUACCUAGAGAACACUUCCAUUGCAAAAUUGCAGGUAAAGAAAGAAUGAGUUUGCUUUGUGGCUGCAUAGCUAGCUCUUAGACAGCUUCUUUUGGCUGAACUUUGCUCUCUCCCAGCCGUUACCUCAGAAAACCCUCUUACACGCAUAGAAUAAAAGCAACCAAGAGACGUACAGAGAGAUGGCAGUCUGCUCACAAACCUUGCAGACAGGAGUGCUCAUUAAAGAGUCUCUCUGGGUCAUUGUUUUCUGAGUCUCAGAGGAAGCAUCAGGGGCCUUAUUUAAACCAGCAGUCAGGCAGACAGGUAUACAGAAACCUGUCAAAUGAAGCUGGUGGUGCAGUGGGGGCGGAUGGGCUGGCAGGGAGACUGUGUAGCUGUAGAAGUGAAUUAAACAGCCUGUGCAUUUCUGCUGCUUAUCUAUACUGGAGCUGCUUUGUUCUAAAGUCCGGGUCUGUCACUGCAAAAGACAAGGUCAGGCUGAAGGGGAGAGGAUAAGCUAGCCUCCUCUGGUUCCCAGGUUACUGUAUGGGAGGGAUGCAAUUUUCAUUGCCAUGUGGAACUGACUGUUCUGAGGUGCUGAAAGGUUCUUUAAUGAAUGUCGAGCGGCUCUGUUUGAAGUUGGAAGGUCAGUCAAAUAUUGCCUGUAACCUUGGAGGGCUUAAUCAUGCCCCAAGUGCUAGCAGAGCUAUUGAAAAGCAUCCAUCUCAAAUGGGAUUUUGGCUUUUGCUUUUCCUUUUUUCAUCUGGCUGAGAUAAUUCACAGAUUGGAAUGUUUCACUUCAGUGGGGGUAGGAACUGCAAAGGGCGGGACAAACACAGAGACGCCAUUUGGGCUCAUUAUGUUUGCUUUUGCUUCGCAACCUUUGUGCCAGCCAAAGAAUGCUUAGGAGUUUGCUGUAGUCUCUAAGACCACCACAACCAUUUCUGGCUCUAGAUAGUUUUGCCUCAUAUUUUUUUAAAUGUUCAUUAAAAAACAAAAAAAGAAAUGAAUUCAAGAAAAUGGUGCCUCCUCUGGAACCUGCGUCUGUUUCCACAUCCACAAGCUAGGAACAGACAGAGUUGGCUACUGUCUGUCCUAUUUAUAAAAUCAGUGCGAAGAGGCUAUAAGCGAGAUAAAAAUCAAGUCUCAGGUUUCAUUUGGAUGUUGCUGUCCCUUGCCCUCCUAGGGGAUGCCCCAGUUCACCUUUGCUUGCUUUUGUGGACUCCAUGGGUUCUGCAAUAUGAAGAGGAAAAAGGAAGAUGCCAAUGCUGAGCAAGAAACUGCUGUCUGAGAGAAGAAGGCACAUCAUUUUUGUACCACCUUCAAUCAGUCUAUUGUAUUGGAGUAAUUAGAGACUUUACAGGCCCAAAAUACAGAUGUCUGUGUGAAAAGAGGAACAGUCGCUAGAAAUCCAGAAGCUGGUUGGCAAAAUAGCAUUUCAGCAAAGCAGGCUUUUCCUACUUUGAAUCACCCUCAGCCUUAGAGACUUUGAAUAUUGAAGACCCAUAAGAUUCUGCUAAUUUGUUGAGGGAUGAUUUUGCCAAGAGAAGUUUCAUUGUGCCUGUUUAAGGUAAUGAACAGGUUUAUAUGGCAACUGUAAUGGUAGAAGACACGAACAAAGUGCAGGGGAUGAAGCCAAAGAAAAGACAAUCUCAAAUUUCCUUGUUAUGGCCUCUUCUGGAAAACGCAAGAUGGAAAUUUGUGAAAUUAUAAAAAUGAACACUUUACCCAACCUAAAACACUCUGCUAUCUAUACAUACACAACUAAUGCUGGAAUCUUAAACUGUGAAAUAGACAAGAUAUAAAUCCAACAGUUCUAGUGACGCUGACCUUGGUAUUUAAGGGUAUAAGAAUGGUAUUAGUGUCUUUUUUGUGGGUUGUACAAUGCCAACAUUCCAAUAUUAUCUGACGUAGAAAUACUUUAUAUAUAUAUGCUUUAUAUAUGCUGACAUACUUUUUCCCCACUGAGAUGAUAUGAUAAUACAAAGCACUUUAUUUCUAUAGGAUCAAUAGAUGAGAUUUUUUUGAAGGAGUAGCUUAGACCAGCUUCUCUAUAUUCAUGGCUUUCUGUCUUUUCAGGAUUCUUUCUCUCAGAAGACAGAAUGAAGAAAUCAAAGAAUUAAUUGCUAUCUUUCACAUUCUACCAAUAUCACCUCUAACUGCUUUAGCUGCUUGAUAUGUUCUCCGACUGUUAAAGUGCAAUACUUGAGUGAUUCAAAAGUUUAUUAUCAGCCCUUAAAAAGUAAUUUUCUGAGUGGUUAGCUAAGGAUUUUGUUGAAAAGUCAUGCUACUUCAGGGUGCAUGCUCCCCCAAAACAAUUAAGUCAUUCUCUUUUAUAUUUUAUUCACUGAAAAUAUUCUAUGCAUCAAUUCUCGUCAUAAUUACCACUGUAAACAAUAGGCAUUUUGCUCCAGAGUGAUUAGCUGCAAUGCUAUGCACAUUUACAUAUCCAGUAUGCAAAAUUGUAUGCUGUACUGAUUUUGUGUCACUGAUUUAAGAAAAUAAUGGUCAUACAUAAUAUAUUUCUUGAAUGUACCUGUAUUCAGUCUGCACUGUCACUUUUAUGGGUAACUAAAGAAUAUCAUAUCUGGGUAGCUAGCUCAAAGUAGAAAGAGUAGCAGGGCUGGGAGUUUGAUUCCCCACUGUGCCUCUUGGGAAAAGAGGUAGCCUGUGCAUCCUUGGGCAAAGUACAUGGUCCUGAAGCAUCAGCAGAAGGAAAGACUUGUAAAUCUCUUUGAGUA